rnacentral:tRNA from 1 species
GCGGCUGUGGCGGAAUUGGUAGACGCGCUAGUUUCAGGUACUAGUGGGUGAAAGCCCGUGGGGGUUCAAGUCCCUCCAGCCGCACCA